AUUGAACGCUGGCGGCAUGCCUUACACAUGCAAGUCGAACGGUAACGGGCCUUCGGGCGCCGACGAGUGGCGAACGGGUGAGUAAUGCAUCGGAACGUACCUUUCAGUGGGGGAUAACGUAGCGAAAGUUACGCUAAUACCGCAUAUUCUGUGAGCAGGAAAGCAGGGGAUCGCAAGACCUUGCGCUGAUUGAGCGGCCGAUGUCAGAUUAGCUAGUUGGUGAGGUAAAGGCUCACCAAGGCGACGAUCUGUAGCGGGUCUGAGAGGAUGAUCCGCCACACUGGAACUGGGACACGGUCCAGACUCCUACGGGGGGCAGCAGUGGGGAAUUUUGGACAAUGGGGGCAACCCUGAUCCAGCCAUGCCGCGUGAGUGAAGAAGGCCUUCGGGUUGUAAAGCUCUUUCGGCCGGGAAGAAAUCGUAUGGGCUAAUACCCUGUGCGGAUGACGGUACCGGCAUAAGAAGCACCGGCUAACUACGUGCCAGCCGCCGCCGUAAUAC
rnacentral:rRNA from 1 species